AAGGAUUUAAGUUAAAAAAAACUAUCAACCUUCAAAGUUGCAAAAUAAAGUCUACUUUAAGCCUUA
rnacentral:tRNA from 1 species